GCAAACCAACAAAAACAGAGACCCAUGGCAACAUCGCACCAGACCCAUCAUCAUCACCAUCGAACAUCCUGUUUUACCCCUUCUCUGUAAACGGGUUAGGUUUUGCACUGUUUUCUUCGAUAGCUCAGGUGUUAUUCUGUCGUGUUGAUCCAUCUCCCUCACCUGUAACUGAAGAACACAGGUUUUUAAGCGUGGCAUCAAGUUAUCUUCCUCAAUAAUUAAUCAGCCUUUGGGUUCUUCUUGGCACGAAAGCGCUUCUAGGCAGGAGCAGUGGAUUUCAAGUAGCAUCCACUCAUCGGCCAUGUACAAAAGGAACUGCCACAUUAGAGAACUGCCCUUGAUGGAACUCAAUACAAUCUCUUACUGUUAGACAGUGAAGGAAUAGAUGCCUAUGAUCAAACAGUAAGCGCAUUUACAUUAUCAAGAUGAACUGAUGAUUGUUGUGCUGGUUUUAUGUUUUAACAGUUCAAGAAUUGAUGAAAUGGCUAGUAAUAAAUUUUAUUAAUUGAAGAAUUUAUUUUCUGUGAUUCCUUCUUAUUUAUAAUUUACACCAUAUCCUUUUU